rnacentral:rRNA from 1 species
GGGUAGAGUAAUGCGUGACCAACCUGCCCCAUGCUCCAGAAUAGCUCUUGGAAACGGGUGGUAAUGCUGGAUGCUCCAACUUGACGCAUGUCUUGUUGGGAAAGUGUUUAGUGGCAUGGGAUGGGGUCGCGUCCUAUCAGCUUGUAGGCGGGGUAAUGGCCCACCUAGGCUUCGACGGGUAGCCGGCCUGAGAGGGCGGACGGCCACAUUGGGACUGAGAUACGCCCAGACUCCUACGGGAGGCAGCAGCU